AACGAACGCUGGCGGCAUGCCUAACACAUGCAAGUCGAACGAGACCUUCGGGUCUAGUGGCGCACGGGUGCGUAACGCGUGGGAAUCUGCCCCUCGGUUCGGAAUAACAGUUAGAAAUGACUGCUAAUACCGGAUGAUGACUUCGGUCCAAAGAUUUAUCGCCGAGGGAUGAGCCCGCGUAAGAUUAGGUAGUUGGUGGGGUAAAGGCCUACCAAGCCGACGAUCUUUAGCUGGUCUGAGAGGAUGAUCAGCCACACUGGGACUGAGACACGGCCCAGACUCCUACGGGAGGCAGCAGUGGGGAAUAUUGGACAAUGGGCGAAAGCCUGAUCCAGCAAUGCCGCGUGAGUGAUGAAGGCCUUAGGGUUGUAAAGCUCUUUUACCAGGGAUGAUAAUGACAGUACCUGGAGAAUAAGCUCCGGCUAACUCCGUGCCAGCCGCCGCCGUAACAC
rnacentral:rRNA from 1 species